GUGCCAGCAGCCGCGGUAAUACGAAGGGGGCUAGCGUUGCUCGGAAUUACUGGGCGUAAAGCGCACGUAGGCGGCUUCUUAAGUCGGUGGUGAAAUCCUGGAGCUCAACUCCAGAACUGCCUUCGAUACUGGGAAGCUCGAGUUCGGGAGAGGUGAGUGGAACUGCGAGUGUAGAGGUGAAAUUCGUAGAUAUUCGCAAGAACACCAGUGGCGAAGGCGGCUCACUGGCCCGAUACUGACGCUGAGGUGCGAAAGCGUGGGGAGCAAACAGGAUUAGAUACCCCGGUAGUCC
rnacentral:rRNA from 1 species